GAUCCUGACUCAGGAUGAACGCUAGCUACAGGCUUAACACAUGCAAGUCGAGGGGCGAGCAUGUCGGUUGCUUGCAACCGAUGAUGGCGACCGGCGCACGGGUGAGUAACGCGUAUCCAACCUACCCUUGUCCAUCGGAUAACCCGUCGAAAGGCGGCCUAACACGAUAUGCGGUUCACAGCAGGCAUCUAACGUGAACGAAAUGUGAAGGAGAAGGAUGGGGAUGCGU
rnacentral:rRNA from 1 species